AAGGAUUCUCCUCCUUCCUGUGGAGAGGACGCCUGGAGAACCGCCCUCCUGUCCAAUCCUGUCUUCUCUCUGAAUGUAGCUGACAGACACCACACAGCCCGGCGUUUUGGUAGAAGCAGCAAAGGGGCUUUCAUCAGAGGCCUAGGACCCUGGAAACCUGAGCAGCGUGACAAUCCCGCCUGGAGCCGGAGGGCGUGGGGAUGAAGAGGUGGGGCAGGAGUGUUUUGGGACCCUUCAUCCUUUGCACGCAUUAAAGGCUGGCCUAGUUUAAAAUGGAGUCUUUCCUAUGUUUUUUUUAAAUUGUAGUUUUGAAAGAGGGUGGAUGAUUAGUGUGUAUACGCAGGAGCCUGUCUUGGGGUAAAGAAUAAGUCAGUGGACGGUUCUCUAACUGGGUGUAGACCAUCUCAGGAUGUUGAGCAAGAUUCUUGGCCUUCUAUUUUCUAGGUUAUUCGGAAUACUUUUAGUUGAUCUGUCAUCUUCAGCUUAGAGCCAUAGGAGAGGCUUUAUUUCAGUUAGUUUCAUCGCCAGGAAAACAGAGAGUUGAUGGUAAUCAUGACACAUGGGGAAUAAGUGAGGAGGAAUUUUCUUUUGACCACUGGGAGCUGAACCUGCAGCCUGUAGACAGUGACGGUGUCGGGCUGGCGCCUCGAGUCUCUGUGUGUGGACUUUCCCUGACACCAUCCUGCAGCUCAGCCUUCCUUUUCCACAUCUAUGAUCUCGUUCUCAUUUUUAUUAUAUUGGAUAUAUAUUUAUAUAUCCAUUCAAAUGCAUUCAUCUGUUCAUCUAUCCAUCCAUACAUAUGUAAAUCAUUUGGGACUAUUUUCCUGUAUUUCGGUAUGAUGUUGGAAGCAAUCAAGCACUAACCUUAUAAUUGAACCUCAUUGAUGUUCUGUCUAAUGGUGUUUAGCUGGUAUCUUUCAGAUUGAGAAUAAAAAUAGAAAGCAGAGGUUUUUUUUAAAAAACGACAGUUGUGCUUUCUUUGGCUUUGAAACAUACUCUCGUGUACACGCCUCCAAGGACACAUACUCAUCUGCAAGUAUCUGUACACACACACACACAAAUGUGAAUAUAAUGCACACGUGUAUUUAGAAUUCUGUCACUGGCAUGAUUAGGAUGUGUGGGGUGUUCUGGUUUGUCAGAUAUUUUGGUUAAUAAUGAAUUGCUGUAUGUCAUCUAAAAACUAUCAAUUAAAACAAGAAUGCAAUAAUACAUCCAACUCUAAAGUUAGACUGUGUGUCUUUUUAAUUCAGAAGGAGCUCCAGUCUUGAGAUGAUGAUAUGUAGCUAUGUCAAUGGACAAGAGAUAAACUAAUUCAUUUUGAACUUUCUGUGAAGUUAAGGGAAUACAUACCAGAAAUUGCAAUUGUGUGUUUUUGAGCGUGUUUUGAGUUUUUGAGCUGUGUUUUCUAAUAAUGGCACAAUGUUUGAAAUUUUUAAGAUGAGAUCCCAACAUUUAAAAAUUGAGAGAGUUCACCUAAGAAUCUAGAUUUCCAAUUCCUCUCAAGUGGUCACUGGUCCUGGACCCGGGGGCCCUGCCGUCUCUCUGACCUGCCUGGUCCCUGGUGGCGUCUGAGAUUGCAACUCCUGAAGCAUACCUUCC
rnacentral:lncRNA from 1 species